GAUGAACGCUGGCGGCGUGCCUAAUACAUGCAAGUCGAGCGAACAGACGAGGAGCUUGCUCCUCUGACGUUAGCGGCGGACGGGUGAGUAACACGUGGAUAACCUACCUAUAAGACUGGGAUAACUUCGGGAAACCGGAGCUAAUACCGGAUAAUAUAUUGAACCGCAUGGUUCAAUAGUGAAAGACGGUUUUGCUGUCACUUAUAGAUGUAUCCGCGCCGCAUUAGCUAGUUGGUAAGGUAACGGCUUACCAAGGCAACGAUGCGUAGCCGACCUGAGAGGGUGAUCGGCCACACUGGAACUGAGACACGGUCCAGACUCCUACGGGAGGCAGCAGUAGGGAAUCUUCCGCAAUGGGCGAAAGCCUGACGGAGCAACGCCGCGUGAGUGAUGAAGGGCUUCGGAUCGUAAAACUCUGUUAUUAGGGAAGAACAAAUGUGUAAGUAACUAUGCACGUCUUGACGGUACCUAAUCAGAAAGCCACGGCUAACUACGUG
rnacentral:rRNA from 1 species